UCACGAGCUUUUUAUUAAAAA
ensembl:piRNA 21ur-11663 ncRNA